rnacentral:rRNA from 1 species
GACGAACGCUGGCGGCGUGCUUAACACAUGCAAGUGGAGCGACGAACCAGGCUUCGGCCUGGGGCAAAGCCGCGAACGGGUGAGUAACACGUGGGUAACCUGCCCCAAUGAUCGGGACAACCCGGGGAAACCCGGGCUAAUACCGAAUGUGCUCCCGCCACAUCAGUGGCGGAUGGAAAGGAAGCUUCGGCCUCCGCAUUGGGGAUGGGCCCGCGGCCCAUUAGCUUGUUGGUGAGGUAACGGCNCACCAAGGCUUCGAUGGGUAGCUGGUCUGAGAGGAUGAUCAGCCACACUGGGACUGAGACACGGCCCAGACUCCUACGGGAGGCAGCAGUGGGGAAUAUUGGACAAUGGGCGCAAGCCUGAUCCAGCAAUGCCGCGUGAGUGAGGAAGGCCUUAGGGUUGUAAAGCUCUUUCGCACGCGACGAUGAUGACGGUAGCGUGAG